CCAAUAGCGUAGAUUAAAGUUGGUGCAGUUAAAAAGCGCGUAGUUGAAUUUCGGGGUCAGGAGUCUGGUCGUGCCACAGGUAUGCACUGGUUUCACUGAUUCCUCCUUCCUGAUGAACCGUAAUGCCAUUAAUUUGGUGUUGCGGGGAAUCGGGACUGUUACUUUGAAAAAAUUAGAGUGUUUAAAGCAGGCUAACGCUUGAAUACAUUAGCAUGGAAUAAUGAAAUAGGACGUUCGAUCCUAUUUUGUUGGUUUCUAGGAUUGACGUAAUGAUUAAUAGGGAUAGUUGGGGGCAUUAGUAUUCAAUUGUCAGAGGUGAAAUUCUUGGAUUUAUUGAAGCCUAACUACUGCGAAAGCAUUUGCCAAGGAUGUUUUCAUUAAUCAAGAACGAAAGUUAGGGGAUCGAAGACGAUCAGAUACCGUCGUAGUCUUAACCAUAAACUAUGCCGCCUAGGGAUCGGAUGAUGUUAAUUUUUUAAUGACUCAUUCGGCGCCUUACG
rnacentral:rRNA from 1 species